rnacentral:rRNA from 1 species
AGUCGAGGGGUAUAGUUCUUCGGAACUAGAGACCGGCGCACGGGUGCGUAACGCGUAUGCAAUCUACCUUUUACAGAGGGAUAGCCCAGAGAAAUUUGGAUUAAUACCUCAUAGCAUAGCAAUCUCGCAUGAGAUCACUAUUAAAGUCACAACGGUAAAAGAUGAGCAUGCGUCCCAUUAGCUAGUUGGUAAGGUAACGGCUUACCAAGGCUACGAUGGGUAGGGGUCCUGAGAGGGAGAUCCCCCACACUGGUACUGAGACACGGACCAGACUCCUACGGGAGGCAGCAGUGAGGAAUAUUGGACAAUGGGCGCAAGCCUGAUCCAGCCAUGCCGCGUGCAGGAUGACGGUCCUAUGGAUUGUAAACUGCUUUUAUACGAGAAGAAACACUCCGACGUGUCGGAGCUUGACGGUAUCGUAAGAAUAAGGAUCGGCUAACUCCGUGCCAGCAGCCGCGGUAAUACGGAGGAUCCAAGCGUUAUCCGGAAUCAUUGGGUUUAAAGGGUCCGUAGGCGGUUUAGUAAGUCAGUGGUGAAAGCCCAUCGCUCAACGGUGGAACGGCCAUUGAUACUGCUAAACUUGAAUUAUUAGGAAGUAACUAGAAUAUGUAGUGUAGCGGUGAAAUGCUUAGAGAUUACAUGGAAUACCAAUUGCGAAGGGCAGGUUACUACUAAUGGAUUGACGCUGAUGG